GACGAACGCUGGCGGCGUGCUUAACACAUGCAAGUCGAACGGAAAGGCCUGCUUUCCCUUGUGGAUUGCGGGUACUCGAGUGGCGAACGGGUGAGUAACACGUGAGUGAUCUGCCCCCAACUUGGGUAUAAGCCUGGGAAACUGGGUCUAAUUCCCGAUAGGACUGCAGGGUGGUGCCUGUGGUGGAAAACGAUUUUCUAGUGGUUGGGGAUGAGCUCGCGGCCUAUCAGCUUGUUGGUGGGGUAAUGGCCUACCAAGGCGGCGACGGGUAGCCGGCCUGGGAGGGGGGACGGCCACAUUGGGACUGGGAUACGGCCCAGACUCCUACGGGAGGCAGCAGUGGGGAAUAUAGCACAAUGGGCGGAAGCCUGAUGCAGCGACGCCGCGUGGGGGAUGACGGCCUUCGGGUUGUAAACUCCUUUCGACCGCGAGGAAGCCACCUGGUUGGAAGGGUGGUGACGGUAGUGGUAGAAGAAGCACCGGCUAACUACGUG
rnacentral:rRNA from 1 species